ACAUUGCACAUGGUAAUCUGCACUGUACAGUCUGAACAAAGGCCUUGCUGCUCAGUAACCCAACACAGACACACAAACACAACAUAAGAGUACUUACAUUUUUCACCUUCUGUACAUUCUGCGUUAUAUCCAAAUUAGUCUCACUUUGUGUCUCCGUUUCAGCUUGUUCUUCCCCAUCUAGGCUUGACUGAGAACCAACAAAUACUCUUUUAGCAAAGACUUUUUCACUGUUUGACAGUUUCAAACUUCUGCAUUUCUCUUCAUUGCUCUCAGUAUGCAGGUGUUUAGGAAUGAGGCUGUCUCGAGUUUCCUCCUCUGGUGAUUCAAUGCUGUCUUUUGAAGCAUGAAAGUUAAAGACGGCUGGCUCUGCAGCUUGAGAAGGAGCAGAAGUGUUGCUAGGAGCUGCACAGAGGGCAGAAUAACUCUCGGCUGGGCUGGCCAGAGCAGGUUCUGUAGAAGAAAGUGAGUCAGUAAUGGAGCGCUCACUCUUCUCCUCUGUCAGGUACACCUUGAGCUUCCUGUUCACCUCCUUCACCAGAUUCUCAGUCCUCUUGUCGCUGGAGGUUUCAACCCUGCUCACCUUGAUCACUUCCACCUCUUUUACACUCCCUCGUCCACUACUGCCGCUGUCUGCAAAAGGCAAGUCUCCUCCAUCUGCAACAAUAGAGGCUACACUAUACACACUGGGACUUCUAUUCCCCGGACCAAACACUGAAUCGUCAAUCUCUUUGUUCUCAGUCCGUCUGUUUGCCUCCGGUGAAAAAUUUUCAUCCCUGUCAUCUGAUGUGGUUCUGCUUUUUUCUUCCGAGAGAAAAAGCUUCCAAUACGACUGAAAACUCCACUCUUCUCCUCGGAACUCUGGUACAACAAGAAAGGGAAAAACAGGUAAGAACACCUAAAUAAAUACAGAUCUCAAUUAUAAAACUGUUAUUAAACUUGACCACGUGUGGCUGUGCUGAGAGGGGUUGCAGAUUUCAGUCAGAAAUGAACUGUUUGAGUUCCACUGGCUAAAUUAUAUUAAAUUAUAUUGGUAAAAUAACACAGGAGGGCAAUACACAAAAAAUGAGAGUGCAGAGUUUUUCAGAGUCAUCACAUUUUCUUAUUCAAAAUAUUCAAAGUAAAGAGUCACUGCAGAUUCUCCUUUUUUUGCUUCUUUAUUCAGCUUCAUUAUUGGUUGUUUAUCUUUAUUUCCUCAAUAGAAACAGUAUUAAUGGUAAUUGAUAUUUGUUUCCCCCACGUGGGAGCAGAACUUCCUGGAUGACUCUAUUUAUACUGCACAAUGCACACAGCUUAUAGUACUUUACUGCUUCAGUUAUUCAUGAUUAUACUCUUAAUUAAAUAUAAACUGCAUAACCUUAGUUAUCGUAUUAAGGGAUUCAAAAUAACAUAGUCACACACAGUCAUUAGAGAAAUUAUGUAAAAUGUCUCAGGACAGUUUGAGACAAGUCCCAAAACAUCCUCUUUACAAUUUCAAAAUCUGAAUGAGACCAACCCAGACUUGUAGAGCACUCAGAGAACGAGUGAUGUGCAAGAACAAGAGAAAGUCACCUCAUCAGAAUAUUCAUGUCAGCACAGAACCCUAAUCAGACAUUAUAUAGCUUUCAGAUUCAUAACGGUACAACCGAAAUCCUUACACCUUGGUAAUGUUAUAUCCAGCAAAAUAAUAUAUUUACAGAAGCUUUUAAUUAAAUAAAAAGGUGGUAUUAAAUAAAAACUUGGCAUUGCCACUGGCAUCAAUUGUUUUUACGUGACAAUAUAAAUUCUAAAUAUUCUAUAUUUAAUUAAUUUUGAAAUAAAGUGAAUAAAUUGGCAUGACUAAAAAACAGAAUAAUCAAAUAUGCAUUUGAUAGCUGAACUUAAGUAAUUUUAAGUAAUUAAAUGUAAGGGAUACAUAUUUCAGAUACAUAAACAUUAAUAUUAGCAGCACCACGUUGACAAGAACAUAAUUUCCAUACACCCGCGGCAGUUAUACGUUAUGAAAAAAAUCUGAAUAUAAAAAAACUCGGAGCACCCGAGGUGAAAUGACUAGCCUCAUACCAGGCCAAUUCUCGUUAAUAAUAGAUUAUUAUUUUCCUCUAUGGAGCAGUUCUCUCUGAAACACGUACCUCCCUGUCUUUACCUCCACCUACUAACUUUGGAGAUGUCCAAUUCCUGAACGAAUCGUUCUUUAGAGUCAAUACCUUUUAAUGAAUCGGUUCACAAAACAAGACUGGAUGAUUCAUUCACUAAACGGACUGAAUCGGAUCGAACUGAACCUCAUGAAAAAGGGAAUCGUCUCUUUCGGAUUUGACUGUCGGGGCGAAAGUUAAGUUACUUUAAAUACCAGAAUAGCAGAAAUGUUACAAUAAAAAUAUUUGAAGGUAACUGAAUGGCCUAACUGAGCCUAGCUGUAUAUCAACACGCAUAUGAAACGUUUUCAGUUGAGUGAUGUAAAUGACACUUAUUGUUGUUGAAUGUUCCAUUUAGUGUUGAUGACUUAUUUAAAUCAUGGCUGCAGCAUAUAAAACGAGGACAUACAGUAAAGGUCAAAAGUUUGGAAACAUUACUGUUUUUAAUGUUUUUGAAAGAAGUUUCUUCUGCUCAUCAAGCCUGCAUUUAUUUUAUCAAAAAUACAGAAAAAACUGUAAUAUUGUAAUAUAUUAUUACAAUUUAAAAUAAUUGUUUUUAAAUUUAUUAUACUUUAAAUUAUCAUUUAUUUCUGUGAUGCAAAGCUGAAUUUUUAGGAUCAUUAUCACAUGAUCCUUUAGAAAUCAUUCUAAUAUGAUGAUUCAUUAUCAAAGUUGGAAACAGUUCUGCUGCUUAAUAUUUUUUCAGAACGUGAUACUUUUUUAGGAUACUUUGAUGAAUAAAAAGUAAAAAAAAAAAAAAAAAAAGAAGCUAUGUUUUAAAUAUAAUAUUUGUAAUAACAAUAUACACUACUGGUCAGUAAUUUGGGGUCAGUAAUUUUUUUCUUUCUUUUUUUUAAAAUUAAAAUCAAUACUUUUAUUCUAGCAAGGAUGUGUUAAA
rnacentral:lncRNA from 1 species